rnacentral:sRNA from 1 species
AAAACGACUUCUGCGCAUCUAGCGACUC